GAUGAAGAACGUAGCGAAAUGCGAUAAGUAAUGUGAAUUGCAGAAUUCAGUGAAUCAUCGAAUCUUUGAACGCACCUUGCGCCCUUUGGCCAUUCCGAAGGGCAUGCCUGUUUGAGUAUCAUGAACACCUCAACUCUUCAUGGUUUUCCAUGAUGAGCUUGGACUUUGGGGGUCUUGCUGGCCUGUGGGUCGGCUCCUCUCAAAUGAAUCAGCUUGCCGGUUUUUGGUGGGCAUCACAGGUGUGAUAACUGUCUACGCUUGUGGUUUUCCACCAGGGUAACCUUCAGCAGUGGAGGUUCACUGGAGCUUACAAAUGUCUCUCCUCUGUGAGGACAGCCCUUUGAAUGUUUGAUCUCAAAUCAGGUAGGACUACCCGCUGAACUUAAGCAUAUCAAUAAGCGGAGGA
rnacentral:misc_RNA from 1 species